GUGGGGAAUAUUGGACAAUGGGCGAAAGCCUGAUCCAGCAAUGCCGCGUGAGUGAUGAAGGCCUUAGGGUUGUAAAGCUCUUUUACCCGGGAUGAUAAUGACAGUACCGGGAGAAUAAGCUCCGGCUAACUCCGUGCCAGCAGCCGCGGUAAUACGGAGGGAGCUAGCGUUGUUCGGAAUUACUGGGCGUAAAGCGCACGUAGGCGGCUUUGUAAGUUAGAGGUGAAAGCCUGGAGCUUAACUCCAGAACUGCCUUUAAGACUGCAUCGCUUGAAUACAGGAGAGGUGAGCGGAAUUCCGAGUGUAGAGGUGAAAUUCGUAGAUAUUCGGAAGAACACCAGUGGCGAAGGCGGCUCACUGGACUGGUAUUGACGCUGAGGUGCGAAAGCGUGGGGAGCAAACAGGAUUAGAAACCCGUGUAGUCC
rnacentral:rRNA from 1 species